rnacentral:lncRNA from 1 species
AGAUGGCGGGUGGCGGUCCGUCGGCGGGCGGCGUCCUCCGGAGGACCUGCAAAAAGCCGGUGGCCGGGGUUUCCGGCGGCGGCCCUCCGAUGCUUAAGUCAGAGGGGGGCUUAAUUUUGGAGAAGGAGAGGGACUGUAUGUAGAAGUCCGAAGCCUCCCCUUUGGGAGGAAGAAGCCUUCCUUUUAUAGGAGGAGUGGCAGGGUUACCUAUGAUGUGACUAGGCGAAUUAAAGGGUUACCGUCACGAUUGGACGUGGGCGUGUGAAGUAAUGAGUUGCCGUGGAUGGCCCGUUCCCAUCAUGAGAUGAGAUGGCGCACAGCCAGAGCUUGCUUGAGGCGCGUAGUGCAGUCCAUUCUUAGGAAUGGUGAGGCGUUGACAGUCGUAGCAAGGUAUGAUCCUUGGUUGAUAUGUCGUAGCGUGGCCGGCAAGUAAAGCAUGGUGCGGUGAGGCUGCUGCAGGGCAUGGCUACAGCAUGUGGACGACAAGGUCGGCCAUCUGAGGUCAGCUCGGCCUUCUGUGCUUGGCCUUCUGAGCUCGGCAGCCUUCUGAGCUCGGCCUGCAUGAGCCCGACUCGGACUGCAUGAGCUCGGUCUGCACGAGCUCGGCCUUCUGAGCUCGGCUUGCAUGAGCUCGGCUCGGACUGCAUGAGCUCGGCUCGGCCUGCAUGAGCUCGGCUCGGCCU